GGAGUCUUUGAACUACAAGAAUAUCAUUGCUAUAAUCCCGCGGUGUAUCCAUGACAAACUCAAGAACACCAACACGUGUAUUAGCGUCAAUCACAGGCACAGCAAAGGAUCCCCAAUUCUUAGUAAAAAUAGCAUCUUCACACGGAGGACGCUGAUCUUCAGGGUAUUCGUGCACGUUUUGAGUUUGUUGAGGAGUGCAGCGUAGGUAAGCCUUGCCUGCAAGACCGAAUGCCGCUUCUUCCUUAGCAUCUCUAUACACAUAGAGUUUGUGGUCUAAACAGGCUAAAUAGUAUUUCUGAAGUUCUUUGUUGAUCCCAAAAAGACGAAAAGGCAUAUGUGCUGCGGUAGUAAGCACACAUGCGUCUCCAAUUUCCUUUGGCACCCAUAACAGAACAAGAACAGAUUCACCGUCUUUAACUGGUAAAAUUUCAAGGAUAGAAGUGAUCUUUUUCAGCACCUCGCCAUCAAUGGGAGCAUGGAUAUCUGUAUGCGAAGGCUUCUCUUUGAAGACCACUAAACAGGAGUAGGUAGCUCGUAGCAUCUGAGACAUAGUCGAAAACGAUGGAGGUACUGUACUCAACCGUCAUAUCUGAAAGUGAGAGAUAAGCCGGAGAAGGUCUCGGGAGUAUAUAUCGCAUUUU
rnacentral:lncRNA from 1 species